UACGGGGGGAGCAAGCGUUGUUCGGAUUUACUGGGCGUAAAGGGCGCGUAGGCGGUCAGCACAAGUCAGUGGUGAAAUCUCCGGGCUUAACUCGGAAAGGUCAACUGAUACUGUGCGACUAGAGUGCAGAAGGGGCAACUGGAAUUCUCGGUGUAGCGGUGAAAUGCGUAGAUAUCGUCAGGAACGCCAAUGGUGAAGACAGGUAACUGGGCUAGUUCUGACACUGAGGCACGAAAGCGUGGGGAGCGAACGGG
rnacentral:rRNA from 1 species